UACGUAGGGGGCGAGCGUUGUCCGGAUUUAUUGGGCGUAAAGGGUAGGUAGGUGGUCUCAUUUGUCUGGGGUGAAAGCCUUGAGCUUAACUCAAGAAGUGCCCCAGAAACGGUGAGACUGGAGUCUUGGAGAGGGUCGUGGAAUUCCCGGUGUAGCGGUGAAAUGCGUAGAGAUCGGGAGGAACACCAGCGGCGAAGGCGGCGACCUGGACAAGUACUGACACUCAACUACGAAAGCGUGGGGAGCAAACAGG
rnacentral:rRNA from 1 species